GCUUAAAACUAGGCGGCACUUUUUAAAGAAAAAAAAGUGCCCCCAUAGUUUGAGUA
ensembl:miRNA Mir290b microRNA 290b